GUGGGCAGCAGACAGUGACCUCCUCACAGGUCCGGGAGCACCAGACUGCAAACAGCAGCCUCUGAGAGGCCUGAGGCACAAUGGAGAAAGGAAAGGGAGUGUCCAGAAAAGGACGGAAGCUGGCAUCCAGCCGGCGGAGGCAGGCGCGAGAGCCAGCUGAUGGUCAGGAUGCCCCUGUGGCCCCGGAGGCUGAGUCCUGGCCCUCUGAUGCUGAUGCAGAGCUUCAGGGCUUCUUCCAGGACUGUGGAGCCAAGGAGAGGGGCUUUGUCACCCAGGAGGAUCUGAAGAAAAUGUCUUUGGCUCCAGCCCCGGUACCCACAGACUCCGCACAAAUCGGUCAUUGCCCUCU
rnacentral:lncRNA from 1 species